AUUUCCGAUUGGAAUUUUCAUUUUCAUUUAUUCGCAACACUUCCUAACUACCGAUUGGUCAGAGUCACGUUUUUUUCAUUCUUCCCUCCAUCCCUCUCCUUCACAAUGGCGAAAAAACCGUUACUCUGCUGGCUCCUCCUCCUCGCCGUGCUCGCCGAAGCCGGAGCUUCCGACGAAGACGGCGCCGAGCUCGACUACUCGAAGCUCUCCGGCAUUAUAAUCCCUGGCUUCGCAUCCACUCAGCUCCGAGCAUGGUCCAUUCUCGACUGUCCUUACUCUCCGCUCGAUUUCAACCCUCUCGAUUUGGUCUGGCUCGACACAACCAAACUUCUUUCUGCUGUCAAUUGCUGGCUUAAGUGUAUGGUGUUGGAUCCUUACAAUCAGACAGAUCAUCCUGAUUGCAAGUCCCGUCCUGAUAGUGGUCUUUCUGGUAUUACAGAACUUGAUCCGGGUUAUAUAACAGGACCUCUUUCAUCGGUUUGGAAAGAAUGGAUUAAGUGGUGUAUUGAAUUUGGCAUAGAAGCUAAUGCAAUAAUUGCUGUUCCAUAUGAUUGGAGAUUGUCGCCCUCCAAGCUUGAAGAGCGGGACCUUUACUUUCAUAAGCUAAAAAUAACAUUUGAAACUGCUUACAAACUUCGUGGUGGCCCCUCUUUAGUUUUUGCCCAUUCAUUGGGUAAUCAUGUUUUCCGUUAUUUCUUGGAGUGGUUGAAGCUAGAGAUUGCACCAAAACAUUAUAUCCAGUGGUUGGAUCAACAUAUUCGUGCCUAUUUUGCUGUUGGAGCUCCCCUUCUUGGUGCAAUGGAAACCAUUGAAGCAACACUUUCUGGAUUCACAUUUGGUCUUCCUAUAUCCGAGGGAACAGCUCGGAUGAUGUUCAACUCCUUUGGUUCAUCAUUAUGGAUGAUGCCUUUUUCCAAGUACUGUAGAACAGAUAAUAAAUAUUGGAAGCAUUUUUCUGGGGGAAGUCACGUGGGCCCACAAACAUAUCACUGUGAUGAGCAGGAGUUUAAGACAAACUUAUCUGGGUGGCCAACAAAAAUAAUCAACAUUGAAAUUCCCUCAACUCGUGCAUUUGAUGCAUAUCCUUCAUUCUCAGAAAUACCCGAGGCCAACUUGUCCAGCAUGGAGUGUGGACUACCUACUCAAUUAUCUUUCUCAGCUCGGGAAAUAUCAGAUGGCACCUUUUUCAAAGCAAUUGAAGAUUAUGACCCAGACAGCAAGAGGCUCUUGUACCUGUUAGAGAAAUCAUAUCUUGGCGAUCCUGUUCUUAAUCCCCUUACACCUUGGGAUCGGCCGCCAAUAAAAAAUGUAUUCUGCAUCUAUGGGACUGAUUCAAAAACAAAGGUUGGUUACUACUAUGCUCCUAGCGGCAAGCCUUACCCUGAUAAUUGGAUCAUUACAGAUGUCGUUUAUGAGUUUGAAGGAUCUCUAAUCUCAAGGUCAGGGAAUCAGGUUGAAGGGAACCCUGGAGCAAUAAGUGGCGAUGAGACGGUGCCAUAUCUCUCCCUUUCCUGGUGCAAAAACUGGCUUGGACCAAAAGUGAACAUAACAAAAGCUCCACAGUCAGAGCAUGAUGGUUCAGAUGUACAGAUUAAAUUGAAUGUGAAACAUCCCCAUGAAGAAGAUAUUGUUCCAAACAUGACAAGAUCACCAAGGGUGAAGUACAUAACAUAUUAUGAAGAUUCUGAAAGUCUUCCUGGAAAGAGGACAGCAGUUUGGGAGCUUGAUAAAGCAAAUCACAGGAACAUCGUUAGAUCACCAGUGCUAAUGAGGGAAUUAUGGCUUGAGAUGUGGCAUGAUAUCCAUCCUGAUGCAAAUUCGAAGUUUGUAAAAAAAGCUAAGCGUGGUCCUUUAAGAGAUGAGGACUGUUAUUGGGAUUAUGGGAAAGCUCGCUGUGCAUGGCCUGAGUACUGUGAAUAUAGGUUAUUUUCUGUCUCCUAUAUUUAAGAUUUUGAUUUAUUAUUUUGGGAGGAAUAUGAUUUUUGAAAUCUCAGCACACAUUUCCAAUUGAGGAAGAAUGAACCAAAUUCAGAAAUAAUGAUAAUUUCAUGUUCACAAGAUGGCUACUGGUUAAGUUAGCUGAAUUGCAGAAUUAAUCAUAAAUCCCAACAUUUUUGCAUAACAAAACUUCGUAUGUUUUUGGUGAUGUUCACUUGGGACAAAGCUGCAGGUUGAGAUAUACAACAGCUGAAUUGUUGUCACAUUAUUUGUAAAUAAUAAGUGUUUUCUACUGGAUGACACGCUACAUAUGAAUACCAGAAUUACUCCUUCAUACAACCAUGACUUUUGGAGUUUGGCCAUUCUUUAACUUUGUAUACUUGCAUGGGCACUGCAUAUGAAUACCAGAAUUACUCCUUCACUUCCCACUUAGCCAUCCAUGAUAAAUAAUUGGCUAGAAUUGUGGUGGAUCUGUAGAGCUAUAUUGUUCAGUUGGUUGAUAGUUUUCAUGAUCUAGAAACAUACAGGCUAUAGUGAUAUGCUAAAUCCAUUGUUAAAAAGUUGACACGGGAAGUGAGAAUACAAAUAGUGUAGAUGACAGUAGUGAAGCUGAAAACUUUUGUUCUCUGAUUUCGUAACAAUUACAUUCUUUCUCUACAAUUUGUCCUACUACUUCUCUUUUACUCCACAAAUAUGUGCUUAAACUUAAAGCUCUGUCCGUUUAAGAUGUAUGAUUCGAAAAUUGAUGAUUAUGUCCUAAUUGUUCAGUUUGAUGUACGCCCCUUACCAGGAAAGGCUAAACAAUUUUGUAACGUUUUGAUAAGCUCGUUUGUGAAUAAGAUUCUUUUUCCCUA